GGGUCCUUAGCUCAACUGGUAGAGCAUCGGGCUUUUAACCCGACGGACAGGGUUCGAGUCCCUGAGGACCCA
rnacentral:tRNA from 1 species